AAUUUUAAGGUUCGCUUAUAAACUCAGUCCUCUCGUUUUCUAUGCUUUUAUUCGAGUUUCCGUCAAUUUAAAGGUUUAAUUAUAAGUGAUAGGCUAUUUGGCGCGGGGAACCGACUCCCUCUCUCUCUCUCUCUCUUAACACCUCACAGUGCUUCAAGUGACAUAUUUUCAUUUCUAUUCGCUUAUAAAGUCAAUGUACCCUCGCAUUUCCUGCCAUAUAAUUAAAGUAUCCGGUUGUACCCCAUGGUGAGGGUCCGCUUGUUUCCACCUCCUUCACCGAGGGAGGGAGGCAGACUGCUCCAGGCGUUUUGGGAUUUUUAUUUAUUUAUUUAUGAUUUUUUAUUGUCUUCCUCAGUGUACCUGGGAAACACCGUGCAGUGCGGAUGUGUGUGUGUCUCUUUUCAUUUAAACACCAGGGAACGGGACCACAGAGGCACAGGAGGUCAAUUAAGCUGUUUUCAUGCAUAGAGAAGAAUAGAAAGAGGAGGAAAGAAGGAGAAAUGAAGAAGGAGGAGGAAGAAGAGGGAAGGGAAGGAGGAAGAGGAGAAGGAAAAGAAGAAAUAUUAAGAAAAGAUUUUCACUGAAUUUCCAGCGUUUUAAAGAGGAGGAAGGGGAAGAAAGGAGGAUGAGGGUGAGGAAGACGAGGAAGAGGAAGAGGAUUAAAUUUCUUUCAUCUUUCUUAGACAGUCCUCAGGAUGUCAACAUUGUAUAAUGGUACAGUGUUGAGACAGGGACGAUCGCGUUAUAAUUCACUAAUUGAGGUUACUUUUGAUAAAUAAACAACUAGUACGGAGUCUUUUAAGUAUUUUACAUUAUCUUAUACCGGAAAAUAUAAAGGAAAAGUGGCGUAAAUAAGAAAAAAAAGGCAAAGAUUAGAGAUGUGGGAUUUUAUAACUUGUGGUAUCUUAAAAUACUAGUAUAAGAUAAACCCUAUGCAAAACGAAUAAUAUAACCUUUAUUAAUCAUCAUAACCUAGAAAACCGAUAAAUAUAUAUAUAAAAACCAGUGUAAUUAGUAAAAAACAAAAAAACUGUCCCUGGGAAGUGAGACGGCCCACAGAGUCGCGCCAAAAACGUGGAUCUACAGGCCAGGCAUCUUAUGUUUAACCAGGUGUACAAGGUGCUGGCUUUCAAGGGCUCCUCCACACCUACAGACACACGCACACACCACCAGAUACAGGAAGAAUUAAUUGAUGAGCUACAGAACUACAGCAUCGUUCAGGUGGCAGCCGGAGACCAGCACUCUCUUUCUCUCACCUCCUGGGGCCUGAUCUACGCACGGGGUGACAAUGGGUACGGUCAGCUUGGCGUCAACUCCUGCGACAGUCACACCGCCACACGCAAGCUUGUCAAGAGUCUGGCCAGGAAGGUGACAGUGCAGCUGGCCUGUGGCGCCAACCACACCCUUGCCUUGACUGCUGAUGGUGACAAAAUACCUUCGGCCAGUUGGCACUUAGACACCGACAGGGGCCCCAGAAGGAUCCUGCCCUGGUGACCUCCUUGGCUGGCACCCUCUUAGUCCUGCUGGCCGCUGCGGGUCACCACUCUGCUGCCGUGACCCAGGCCGGCUACCUGCUGUUGUGGGGGUCAAACAAGCAGGGUCAACUGGGCUAUACUCCCAAGGGUGAUCCUCUUGUUAGAUCUUCGCAGGGGGUGACGUCAGCUUGGCCACUGUCAGCAGGGAGAGUGGGGGUGCUGAGGACUUUUGCAGCCCUCCCCUACCCCGACCAAAUGCCCUCUCUCUCACAAUUCAAGAACAUAUUAUUAAGAAACUUCUGUCAAUUGAGGAAGAAGACAUGAUUGAUGACGAUUUGUUUACGAACACAGAGACAGUGUUUGCCUCAGUGUGCGCUUGGAACAGCUCCCUCACGCUUGCUGGCUUGCACAAACACACACACGGGCUGGACUACCGUUUGGCUGAGGACUGUGUGGCUCAGAUUGGCCGGAUUGCAAGGGAGACCAUCCAGGAAGUGGCGAGUGCGUGCGUUUGUGUGCGUUUCACUGCAUUUUACUGAAGGUUUCCCAGGACAAAACAGGACAAACCGACCUGCUGGCAUUUCACACGCAGAAUCUCACAAGCGUCCACUGAUCCAUUACCGAGCUAAUCCAAACGUAUCCAAACGUCCACAGGUUCGUACUGGCAUUCAAAACGUGGCCAAGAGUCUUCCUUCGCAUCCCCCCAGCCAGGACGCCUUACGCUGUUAUGUCCUUCCCCUGUACAAGGACUUCACUGACCCUAAACAAACGGCCAAACUCCAAACGCCGUAUGCUGAGGGAGUGUUGAAGCUUGGCAAGGAGAUGGCGGAGGUGUUCAAGACCGGCGUGCCCUUGUGUCUUCCCUGCGGCUGUUGUCCCUGGUCCACGGUCUGAACUUCCAAGCCGGCUGCCGAGUGGGGCGGUUGAACUACGACGACUUUUACAUCCCAGAAAUUGCAGAGAAAAUUGAUAUUAGGAAUGAUUACUUGAACUGGAUGAA